CUACCAUGCAAGUCGAGCGGUAGCACAGAGGAGCUUGCUCCUUGGGUGACGAGCGGCGGACGGGUGAGUAAAGUCUGGGGAUCUGCCUGAUGGAGGGGGAUAACUACUGGAAACGGUAGCUAAUACCGCAUGACGUCUUCGGACCAAAGUGGGGGACCUUCGGGCCUCACGCCAUGAGAUGAACCCAGAUGGGAUUAGCUGGUAGGUGAGGUAACGGCUCACCUAGGCGACGAUCCCUAGCUGGUCUGAGAGGAUGACCAGCCACACUGGAACUGAGACACGGUCCAGACUCCUACGGGAGGCAGCAGUGGGGAAUAUUGCACAAUGGGGGAAACCCUGAUGCAGCCAUGCCGCGUGUGUGAAGAAGGCCUUCGGGUUGUAAAGCACUUUCAGCGGGGAGGAAGGCAAUGAGCUUAAUAAGUUUGUUGAUUGACGUUACCCGCAGAAGAAGCACCGGCUAACUCCGUGCCAGCAGCCGCGGUAAUACGGAGGGUGCAAGCGUUAAUCGGAAUGACUGGGCGUAAAGCGCACGCAGGCGGUCUGUUAAGUUGGAUGUGAAAUCCCCGGGCUCAACCCGGGAACAGCAUUCAAAACUGACAGGCUAGAGUCUCGUAGAGGGGGGUAGAAUUCCAGGUGUAGCGGUGAAAUGCGUAGAGAUCUGGAGGAAUACCGGUGGCGAAGGCGGCCCCCUGGACGAAGACUGACGCUCAGGUGCGAAAGCGUGGGGAGCAAACAGGAUUAGAUACCCUGGUAGUCCACGCUGUAAACGAUGUCGACUUGGAGGUUGUGGUCUUGAACCGUGGCUUCCGGAGCUAACGCGUUAAGUCGACCGCCUGGGGAGUACGGCCGCAAGGUUAAAACUCAAAUGAAUUGACGGGGGCCCGCACAAGCGGUGGAGCAUGUGGUUUAAUUCGAUGCAACGCGAAGAACCUUACCUACUCUUGACAUCCAGAGAAGACUGUAGAGAUACGGUUGUGCCUUCGGGAGCUCUGAGACAGGUGCUGCAUGGCUGUCGUCAGCUCGUGUUGUGAAAUGUUGGGUUAAGUCCCGCAACGAGCGCAACCCUUAUCCUUUGUUGCCAGCACUUCGGGUGGGAACUCAAAGGAGACUGCCGGUGAUAAACCGGAGGAAGGUGGGGAUGACGUCAAGUCAUCAUGGCCCUUACGAGUAGGGCUACACACGUGCUACAAUGGCGCAUACAAAGAGAAGCGAGCCUGCGAGGGUGAGCGGACCUCAUAAAGUGCGUCGUAGUCCGGAUUGGAGUCUGCAACUCGACUCCAUGAAGUCGGAAUCGCUAGUAAUCGUAGAUCAGAAUGCUACGGUGAAUACGUUCCCGGGCCUUGUACACACCGCCCGUCACACCAUGGGAGUGGGUUGCAAAAGAAGUAGGUAGCUUAACCUUAGGGGGGGCGCUAC
rnacentral:rRNA from 1 species